AGUUGUAUUAUAGGGCAAAACCUCCAUUGGCAUGCAGCUACUAUGAGACACAAUAUUAAACAAUUCAUCAGUGUGCACAAUGCCAAAGAAGAUUUGCCCGGCAAUUCUUCU
rfam:Populus trichocarpa scaffold_11_contig_338, whole genome shotgun sequence.